rnacentral:rRNA from 1 species
AUUGAACGCUGGCGGCAUGCCUUACACAUGCAAGUCGAACGGUAACAGAUCUUCGGAUGCUGACGAGUGGCGAACGGGUGAGUAAUACAUCGGAACGUGCCCGAUCGUGGGGGAUAACGAAGCGAAAGCUUUGCUAAUACCGCAUACGAUCUACGGAUGAAAGCAGGGGACCGCAAGGCCUUGCGCGAACGGAGCGGCCGAUGGCAGAUUAGGUAGUUGGUGGGAUAAAAGCUUACCAAGCCGACGAUCCGUAGCUGGUCUGAGAGGACGACCAGCCACACUGGGACUGAGACACGGCCCAGACUCCUACGGGAGGCAGCAGUGGGGAAUUUUGGACAAUGGGCGAAAGCCUGAUCCAGCCAUGCCGCGUGCAGGAUGAAGGCCUUCGGGUUGUAAACUGCUUUUGUACGGAACGAAAAGACUCUGGUUAAUACCUGGGGUCCAUGACGGUACCGUAAGAAUAAGCACCGGCUAACUACGUGCCAGCCGCCGCAGUAA